rnacentral:rRNA from 1 species
GGUAGUCCGCACGAGCGCACCCCUAUUCGUUAGUUGCCAGCAUGUUAUGGAUGGGGACUCUAACAAGACUGCCUGCACAAGCAGAAAGGAAGGAGGGGAUGACGUCAAGUCAUCAUGGCCCUUACGCCCAGGGCUACACACGUGCUACAAUGGCGCAUACAGAGGGUCGCUACCUGGCAACAGGAUGCCAAUCUCAAAAAGUGCGUCUCAGUUCGGAUUGGGGUCUGCAACUCGACCCCAUGAAGUCGGAAUCGCUAGUAAUCGCGCAUCAGCAAUGGCGCGGUGAAUACGUUCCCGGACCUU